rnacentral:rRNA from 1 species
CCCUUACGGCCAGGGCUACACACGUGCUACAAUGGCGGUGACAACGGGAUGCGAAGGCGCGAGCCGGAGCCAAUCCCCAAAAACCGUCUCAGUUCGGAUCGUACUCUGCAACUCGAGUGCGUGAAGGUGGAAUCGCUAGUAAUCGCGCAUCAGCCAUGGCGCGGUGAAUACGUUCCCGGACCUUGUACACACCGCCCGUCAAGCCAUGGAAGCCGAGGGUGCCUGAAGAUGGUGACUUCACAGGGAGCUAUCUAGGGUAAAACUGGUAACUAGGGCUAAGUCGUAACAAGGUAGCCGUACCGGAAGGUGCGGCUGGAAUACCUCCUU